rnacentral:lncRNA from 1 species
UGGUAGAGGGGACGCGGCUGUACGUGCCUGAAUGGCCGGAAGAAGAUCGCUGAAUCCGCCCCGCCGCCGCCAGUCUCAGCUCGAGGUGAGCACACUGGCCCUUAACCUAACUCUGCUUGACUUAUCGGUUUAUUAUCAUCUGCCCCUGAAAAUGCAACCUUCGCCCCUGAAAAAUUCUCAGAUUUUGUUCAGUGAUGUAGCUAUGGGGAUGCGGUGGUCUUCUAUGUGAUUGCUUUGCCUAGUCGCCGGUCGCCACACAUUGGGGAUUGGGGUAGUACUGUACAGAGGGCAGUUGGGAAUUGAACAAUCAAAUGUUUUGCAACUCGUACAGAAACUGGUGUUACUUACGCUCCUUUAGAAUUCAUUGUCCUGCUGUUGAACACAACAAUUAAAGUUUAUCAUAAUCUAGGCUGGAUACCGACGACAAUACGCUAUGGGCGAUUCUGAUGUAGCUGGUUCUAAUUCAAGUUUAACACAUUGAUGUACAUCAUUUUUUAGAGUGAAAUAGAUCUUAUAUAUUGUAUAUCAAGGGCUGUUACAAUCCUUACACAAUCAAAGGGGAAACAAAACUACUACUCCAUAAUUUUAUAGUGAAAGAGAGCUUAUAUAUUGCACAUCAGCUACAAGAGCAGCUUCCUCGUCUGUUCUAGCAUAAUAUGCAAGCUGGUGGGCAGCUCCAUUGCUCUCUCUUAUGACAUUACACAUGCAGCCUGCACUCCGGAAAAAUCUCCAUCACUCCCUCGGUCAGUCUCUUCUCUGAAUUCUUUGACAACGCCUACUACUCCGCUGUGUAGUCCAUUUCAGCCACAGCCGGCCACCCUGUAAAUUUCAGCUAACUGACGGAGGCCAACCAGCCAUCACAUCGAUAGCUU